CCCGGCUUGGAACUGAACUGUGUGAGCACGGGUCCUGGAACCCGGGCCCAGAACCGGCGAGCCCAGGUCUGAGCCCAGAGCUCAGCGGUCAGCCUGGUAGGCCCUGACUCGGAAUCGAGCCGAGGCGCUGAGCUUGGAGCCGGAGAGCGGGAGAGCCGGAGAGCAGGGAGGGCGGGCCGGCUGCGCGUCCGACGAGUCGCAGAGCAGGACCGCGGAAGGCAGGGAGACGGCCGCAAGCCCAGGGCAGAGGGCAGAGGGCAGAGAGCGGCCUGGCUCGGCGGAGAGGGCGCCGCCCGGCCGGAACCGAGCUCGCCGCCCGGGACGGCGGCCCCCCGUGGGGCGCGGACCCAGGGUGGCCGUGGGUCCGCAGCGACUCCCCGGCCGACGGCGGGGGGCGUGCCCCCUCCCAGCCCAGCCUCCCCAACCCGGCCCGCCCGCCGCGUCGCGGGGGCAUGUGAGCGGGAAGCCUAGGCUGCCAGCCGCGAGGACCGCACGGAGGAGGAGCAGGAGCGCGGAGCCGCGAGCCCCGAGCCCCGAGCCCGGCGCCUGGCUGAGUACAGGGACCCAAGAGAGCCUAGCAGAGAAGGAGCUCCAGCUUCUGGUCAUGAUUCACCAGCUGUCCACCCUGCGGGACCAGCUCCUGACAGCCCACUCGGAGCAGAAGAACAUGGCUGCCAUGCUGUUUGAGAAGCAGCAGCAACAGAUGGAGCUUGCCCGGCAGCAGCAGGAGCAGAUUGCAAAGCAGCAGCAGCAGCUGAUUCAGCAGCAGC
rnacentral:sRNA from 1 species